GAUGAACGCUGGCGGCGUGCUUAACACAUGCAAGUCGAACGAAACACCUUAUUUGAUUUUCUUCGGAACUGAAGAUUUGGUGAUUGAGUGGCGGACGGGUGAGUAACGCGUGGGUAACCUACCCUGUACAGGGGGAUAACAGUCAGAAAUGACUGCUAAUACCGCAUAAGACCACAGCACCGCAUGGUGCAGGGGUAAAAACUCCGGUGGUACAGGAUGGACCCGCGUCUGAUUAGCUGGUUGGUGAGGUAACGGCUCACCAAGGCGACGAUCAGUAGCCGGCUUGAGAGAGUGAACGGCCACAUUGGGACUGAGACACGGCCCAAACUCCUACGGGAGGCAGCAGUGGGGAAUAUUGCACAAUGGGGGAAACCCUGAUGCAGCGACGCCGCGUGAGUGAAGAAGUAUCUCGGUAUGUAAAGCUCUAUCAGCAGGGAAGAAA
rnacentral:rRNA from 1 species